UUGGAGGGCAAGUCUGGUGCCAGCAGCCGCGGUAAUUCCAGCUCCAAUAGCGUAUAUUAAAGUUGUUGCAGUUAAAAAGCUCGUAGUUGAAUUUCGAGACCGGCUUACUGGUCGUGCUAUUGUACGUACUGGUAUAAUCGGUUUCUCCUUUCUGACGAACUAUAAUGCCAUUAAUUUGGUGUUUUAGGGAAUCAGGACUGUUACUUUGAAAAAAUUAGAGUGUUUAAAGCAGGCUCACGCUUGAAUACAUUAGCAUGGAAUAACGGAAUAGGACGUUUGAUUCUAUUUUGUUGGUUUCUAGGAUCGACGUAAUGAUUAAUAGGGAUAGUUGGGGGCAUUAGUAUUCAAUUGUCAGAGGUGAAAUUCUUGGAUUUAUUGAAGACUAACUACUGCGAAAGCAUUUGCCAAGGAUUUUUUCAUUAAUCAAGAACGAAAGUUAGGGGAUCGAAGACGAUCAGAUACCGUCGUAGUCUUAACCAUAAACUAUGCCGACUAGGGAUCGGAUGAUGUUAAUUUUUUAAUGACUCAUUCGGCGCCUUACGGGAAAC
rnacentral:rRNA from 1 species